CUUUGCAAACGAGUCUUUCCAAUGGAAAGCUUCAAAAAGAAUGAAUUAGUACUUUUUAAUAAUCAUAAUUAAUAACAUCUAGUAUUUACAUAGUUGGUGUUCAAUUAACUUUACAAAGAGUUAAUUUUAUCUUCAAAACAACUUGGGGGGGUAGAUGCUGUUAAAAGAGGUCAUAAGGAAGAUGAAAUCUUUGCUCCAAGCUUGGUGCUGUAUCCAUUGUGUCACCUAGCUACACCUAGUUUACAGAUGAUGAAACAGAGGUAAACAGGGGUUACAUGAUUUGACCAGAGACCCAGAGCUAGUAAAUGUUGGAGCCCAGAUUUGAACUAGUAAAUUGCCUUUCUGUGUCAUCCUAGCUAUUAGACUUAUGGUGAGGAUAUGAGAUUUAGAGGUAGAAAAAGCUUAGAUACCAGUAAAUCGAAUCAUCUUAUUUUAAUGAAUAUGGACAUUGAGCUACAUAAAGAGUUUAUGUGACCUGCCUAAGAUUUUCCAGCUAGUAUGGAUUAGAGGUCUUUCUGAUUUCAAAUAUAUUGUCUUUCACCAUAUUGCAAAGAAGCUCAGGGAAGAUGUCUUCUAAGUCAGAAGAAAGCCUGGGAUGGAAGUUCCUCUUUUGUUUGUUCUCUCUGCCAUCUGAAAGAUGCUAUUUCUAGGAAGGAAAAGAUAAUACAAAAAGAGCCACUGCACAGGGCUAAAGAAGCACAAAGUUAACCAGUUCAAUGCCAAUGGAGCACAAGGUCAAAGACCAACCAAUCCCAAUGGGGUUGAUGAAAAUUCUAAGCCAAUAAAAAGGACUUGAACCUAAUGUGAAGACUCAAGGUUGUGAUGCUAAACAUACAUUAAGAUGUAGGCCUUCUUUGUAUCCACACUCUUAUGAAAUUACUUAAA